rnacentral:rRNA from 1 species
UGGCUUCCACUCUGGAAGAAUCUGGAGGACAGGUGCUGCAUGGCUGUCGUCAGCUCGUGUCGUGAGAUGUUGGGUUAAGUCCCGCAACGAGCGCAACCCUUGCCUUUAGUUGCCAGCAGUUCGGCUGGGCACUCUAAAGGGACUGCCGGUGUUAAACCGGAGGAAGGUGGGGAUGACGUCAAGUCCUCAUGGCCUUUAUGACCAGGGCUACACACGUACUACAAUGGCCGAUACAAAGGGCAGCGACACUGCGAGGUGAAGCCAAUCCCGUAAAAUCGGUCUCAGUCCGGAUUGGAGUCUGCAACUCGACUCCAUGAAGUUGGAAUCGCUAGUAAUCGUGGAUCAGCAUGCCACGGUGAAUACGUUCCCGGGCCUU